UGGGGAAUAUUGCACAAUGGGGGGAACCCUGAUGCAGCGACGCCGCGUGAGCGAAGAAGUAUUUCGGUAUGUAAAGCUCUAUCAGCAGGGAAGAAAAUGACGGUACCUGACUAAGAAGCCCGGCUAACUACGUGCC
rnacentral:rRNA from 1 species